AGACGAGAAGCAGCUAUCAACUCCUGAGACAUGUUAAUCUUCCCACUAAGUCCGAUACGGUGGUUAACAACGGGCCCGCUGGAGACUGGCACCAACACAGUCUUAAAACGAGAAGCAGCUAUCAACUCCUGAGACAUGUUAAUCUUCCCACUAAGUCCGAUACGGUGGUUAACAACGGGCCCGCUGGAGACUGGCACCAACACAGUCUUAAGACGAGAAGCAGCUAUCAACUCCUGAGACAUGUUAAUCUUCCCACUAAGUCCGAUACGGUGGUUAACAACGGGCCCGCUGGAGACCGGCACCAACACAGUCUUAAGACGAGAAGCAGCUAUCAACUCCUGAGACAUGUUAAUCUUCCCACUAAGUCCAAUACGGUGGUUAACAACGGGCCCGCUGGAGACUGACACCAAUACAGCCUUAAG